rnacentral:rRNA from 1 species
GACGUAGGGCGCGAGCGUUGUCCGGAUUUAUUGGGCGUAAAGAGCUCGUAGGCGGCUUGUCGCGUCGGCUGUGAAAUCCCGUGGCUCAACUGCGGGUCUGCAGCCGAUACGGGCAGGCUAGAGUUCGGUAGGGGAGACUGGAAUUCCUGGUGUAGCGGUGAAAUGCGCAGAUAUCAGGAGGAACACCGAUGGCGAAGGCAGGUCUCUGGGCCGAUACUGACGCUGAGGAGCGAAAGCCAGGGGAGCGAACGGG